GCGGUGGAGCAUUGUGGUUUAAGUUCGAUGAUACGCGAGAAACCUUAACCAGGGCUUGACAUAUACAGGAAUGUUGUAGAGAUACAGCAGCCGCUUGCGGUCUGUAUACAGGUGCUGCAUGGCUGUCGUCAGCUCGUGCUGUGAAGUGUUGGGUUAAGUCCCGCAACGAGCGCAACCCUAUCAUCUGUUGCCAGCAUUUAAGGUGGGGACUCAGAUGAGACUGCCGGUGACAAACCGGAGGAAGGUGGGGACGACGUCAAGUCAUCAUGGCCCUUAUGUCCUGGGCUACACACGUGCUACAAUGGCCGGUACAGAGUGAAGCGAAACCGCGAGGUGAAGCAAAACGCAGAAAGCCGGUCUCAGUACGGAUUGGAGUCUGAAACUCGACUUCAUGAAGUUGGAAUCGCUAGUAAUCGCGCAUCAGCAUGGCGCGGUGAAUACGUUCCCGGGCCUU
rnacentral:rRNA from 1 species